rnacentral:rRNA from 1 species
GACGAACGCUGGCGGCGUGCUUAACACAUGCAAGUCGAACGGAAAGGCCCUGCUUUUGUGGGGUGCUCGAGUGGCGAACGGGUGAGUAACACGUGAGUAACCUGCCCUUGACUUUGGGAUAACUUCAGGAAACUGGGGCUAAUACCGGAUAGGAGCUCCUGCUGCAUGGUGGGGGUUGGAAAGUUUCGGCGGUUUGGGAUGGACUCGCGGCUUACCAGCUUGUUGGUGGGGUAGUGGCUUACCAAGGCUUUGACGGGUAGCCGGCCUGAGAGGGUGACCGGCCACAUUGGGACUGAGAUACGGCCCAGACUCCUACGGGAGGCAGCAGUGGGGAAUAUUGCACAAUGGGCGGAAGCCUGAUGCAGCAACGCCGCGUGCGGGAUGACGGCCUUCGGGUUGUAAACCGCUUUCGCCUGUGACGAAGCGUGAGUGACGGUAAUGGGUAAAGAAGCACCGGCUAACUACGUG